CGGCACGCUUUGGUCAUUGUGGAGAAUUCUUGCAGAUGCGAUUGCCAGUUUUUCAAAAGCAUUCGGUACGAACGGUGGGCUCCGAUCAAUUAAAUCAUUUACCGUUAGCGCUUUAACAUCCACCAACAACAAAAACAACAACAACAACCACACCAACAAAAUGAAUGAAGCCAAGAGUUUGUUCACCACUUUCCUCAUUCUGGUCUUCUUGCUGGGUUUGCUGUGGGCUUUCUAUGAAGCCGUUUUUUAAAUCAUCUUUUAAAAGUUAAGCGAAAACAACAGCAACAACAACAACAACAACAAUAGCGACAUAUAAACAUGAUUUUCAUGUUUCCAAAAAUUAAAUUUUUCAAAACCACACAUGCACACACAAACAUCCCGUGCGAGUUGGGUAUGAAGUUUAGUUAGUUUUUUUUUUUUUUCAAAUUUUCACCAUUAAAGCGUAUUGCAUGAAAUCUGGCAAAAACAACAAAAGCAACAACAACAUCAUCAUCUUACAUGAUAUAAUUAAUACGCCUAAACAAUUCCAAAAUAACAUUAAUUCACACGCAUUUUGUAAUUAAGGACCAACGAAAGCAAACAAAAGCAAGAGAACAAAUGGAGUUCGUUUAGUUAAGAAAUGAGUUGACGUCAACGCUUGGACAUUCAUGUGAAUUAACAUCGCAACAGCGGCAUUUGCGUGUCGUCGCCACUAAUACUUACAGAGUUAUUUUGAUAAAUAUAAACAUCCAGACUCUGGCAACCUCAAAAACUGUGAGCUGCGAGUUUUCGCUGAAGAGCGGAGGAAAUUAUAAAGAAAAAUUAGCAGCAUAAAGUGUGGAAAAUGUCAGCUGUCAGCAACAAUCCAUCAAUACGUCAAUCACUUUGUCCAGCGGUCGUUCAUCACAUCGUUUACACAAUAAUUGAGUUUAUUUAAAAGUCAAAGAACAAAUGAAAAUUACAAAAAAAAAAAAAAAAUCAUAUAAAAACUAAAAAGAAAAAUUUAAAAAUAGCUUAAAUGCGAGCAACAACAACAACAUGUAUUUAUUAGUAAAUACAAAUUUUAAUUUUUUUUUUUCGUUCUUAGUUGUAUGUUUAAGGGUAUUUGAUAUAAGCCAUAGGUGUAGUGACUUUAUAAUAUUAUACACAUAUAAUAUGAAAUAUAUUUAACAGCAGCAGACAGAAAUAAUAAACAAAAGUGAAAAAAUGAGUAUAUAUGGAACGUUAGGGAAAAUAAUAAGACCGUAAAGUAAAAU
rnacentral:lncRNA from 1 species